UGGGGAAUUUUGGACAAUGGGCGAAAGCCUGAUCCAGCAAUGCCGCGUGUGUGAAGAAGGCCUUCGGGUUGUAAAGCACUUUUGUCCGGAAAGAAAUCCUUGGCUCUAAUACAGUCGGGGGAUGACGGUACCGGAAGAAUAAGCACCGGCUAACUACGUGCCAGCAGCCGCGGUAAUACGUAGGGUGCAAGCGUUAAUCGGAAUUACUGGGCGUAAAGCGUGCGCAGGCGGUUUGCUAAGACCGAUGUGAAAUCCCCGGGCUCAACCUGGGAACUGCAUUGGUGACUGGCAGGCUAGAGUAUGGCAGAGGGGGGUAGAAUUCCACGUGUAGCAGUGAAAUGCGUAGAGAUGUGGAGGAAUACCGAUGGCGAAGGCAGCCCCCUGGGCCAAUACUGACGCUCAUGCACGAAAGCGUGGG
rnacentral:rRNA from 1 species